UGUCAUUCUGAGGUCUAGUGGAUGAGAUGCUGGGAAGCAUAAGGGAAGGAGGAAUUCUUCCUUCACCAUCUACCAAAGGAGAAGAAAAGCUACUUGAGAGUUCUUCUCUCUCACAUGUGCCAUGUCACUUUGGAGGAAAAAGAGUCUUACAGGAGAGGACCAUACUCAUCAGCAUCAUCAAUAUCUGUGUAAAAAAGGUAUAGGUGUGUGCAGAACAGGCAGCAAACUGUUCAGAGACAGACUGGAAACACAAAAGAGCCUUCCUUAAUUUGGGUUUGCCUUUUCAACCGGUGGUACAAAACUGGAUGAUACUUCAUAAACUUAUCUUACCAACAGACAACAGCUUUUAUGAAAAUGGUUCUUUUUAUAAUAUUUAAACUCUGCAAGUCUGUGAGUUCUCAAGUGCUAUGUAAAAGUCUCCCACAGCAUGCACUUUAUAUGUAGCUUUAAUUGUCUGAAACACGUGUUGCUUUUACUGAGGAUGUUCCCAGGUGCCUGUGUUGAUUGGAGGUUCCUGGGAGGGUUCACUAAAAAUCAUUAGUCCUGGUGGAAGAAAGCUUGCUCUGGUGCCUGGACUGAGGAUCUGAACAGGCCACUCUGAGGCAGUGAGUAUUGCAAGCUCAAAAAACAGAUCAGGGCUUAAAAUGUCACCCAAUUCUCCAGUGCCCUGACCCAACAGUAAUUGCUUACUUCUGAACACACACAGACUGUUUUAUUGCUAGUGUUACACUGCACAGAGGUAGCAUUUACUUACCUUUCCCAAGUUAAACAAAUGUCCAGAAUCGCAAAGAAUUGGGCAAAGCGUGUUCCUCCAAGAGCUUUACCUUUCUGAACUGUCAUAAAAUAUUAACUGUUAACAGAAGAAUUACUUUCACUUUUGUCACCACUAUUUGUUUUUCCAGGCUGCUGAAUACACAAGCCAGAGGCCCUGUGAGCCCUUGCAAUAAUGUUUUCAUACACUGCCAUCUGUUGUUAUGGUGUGUCCCUGUCGCUGCUGUGCUGUCCCGCCGGGGUUUCUAUUCCAGCAGGAAGCAGUUCCUUUCCAGGAAGUAUGUUCAAAGCAUAGUCAAGCUUUAAUUCAUACAUGCAGAAAGAUUCUAACAAUUCUGCUUUCAGUUACGGCAACAGCCAAAUUAGUGUUGCUUUUAAUCCCACUUCACUUAUUUCAAUAGUAAGUUUGUACCUUUAUUCACACCAGAGCAUUCAUGUUCUAAAUCAGCAGUGAAUUUACAGCAAAACAUACACACACAUCUCACAAACUUCCCAUGUAUUUAUACAUACCAAAAUUAGAAAGGAUCCUGUCAGUGCAUGAAUACAUUUACACUCACUGACCUGCUUACUUAGAGAGCUGUUCCAGAAUCUGCAUGUUUACUUAACAUUUUGGAUAUAAUUAAGCUAUGGAUUUGAAUCCAAGAUCUGAUCAGUUAGCAGCUUAUUCCCUAAAUCUGUAUUAUAAAAAAUAGAACAUAAUGUUACAGAAGCUGUCAGAAAAGUAAAAUAACUUGUGUGUGAUUGAAUAAGGGGUGAUCAUGUGUGGUUGGAGAGCAAACCUAAAGCACCCAGGCACACAGUCACAAACCAGCUGGCAAGUGAAGGAGAUAAGUGAAGGAGCUAGGAAUUGGUCUAAGCCUAUGGAAUUACAGCUGAGUACCCCUGCCUUAGAGCAGCUCACCUAAGUGUGCAGCUAUCCUAGUUCCACAAGUGCUUGUGUGGGAGAUGGCACAGUUCUGACUGCCCAGACGGUCAGAACUGCAACUGUGAUUUUUGUGUGUUACAACUGGUCUGAGCACAAGCCUCGGAUCUGAAGCACUGGACACAGGAGAGAGCCUUUGUACUUGACACCAUGGGGACAAACUUCCAAAAGGCCAGUUUUCAACUUCCUUAAAAAAGAGAAUGUAUCUGAUCAAUACACCUAAAGAACUCGCGUAUUCAAAAAUGUAGAAAGGCACAGGAGAGUUAGUCAUUUAUCGCAUUCACAAAAAUAAGUUUAUUUGCAUAUCCAAAUACAGGAUAUUUAUUUAAGUGAAAACUGUAUGCUCACAGUUUAAAUAAUUUCACUUGCCAUUUAAUAAAACUGCAGUCUUAAUAACUGCAACUAACAUUACUGCCCAAACACUAAAGAACUCGAAGCUUCUUUCUGUUCUUUAUGCAGCUGUUUUGCCCUGUUUUUCAGAUCCUCUGCCUUAGCAUCAUCCUUUUCCACACCAUCUCCCAGUUUGUACAUGCGACUGGCAUUGGCACAGGCCCACAUGUGCCCCAGCUCACACCCUUUCAGUGAGUACUUCAGGGCACGGCCCAUGUCCUUGGGGACCCCAGGUGCCCCCUGCAGGUAUAUCACACCCAGGUUGAAGCAGCUGGCAGCAAAAUUGCCAUCACAGGCUUUUGUGUAAUAGUCUCUAGCGACCACGGGGUCAGGUUUGUCAUUGUUCACUCUCCCAUCGUGGGCCAACAGCCCGACGUUGUGACAGGCAUUCACUGACUUCUUCCCACCUUUCUCACAUGACUUCAGGAAAGACUUGUAGGCAGCUUUCAAAUCUGGUUCAAGUCCACCUGUCAGCCAAGAAACCAAAACAUUUCAGUAAGGACAUGAUAAAACAGAUAGGAGGUCUCUCUGCUUUGCAAAAUGCUUCCCUUCCCACUGGAAAUACAGCAUCCCUCUCUCUAGAUACCACAGUCAACAUUUAGGACUUCAGAGACACCACCAUUGUCUCAGUGACAAAGGUUUUGCAAUGUCUUUGACUUAGGAAACUCUCCUCCACUCAUAAGUAAUCACAACAGCACCUGCAACCAAAAAAUAAGCCAAACCAACAAAACACUCUUUCCACUGCUAUAUCCGUGGAUUUCUUACUUACACAAGGCAAAUAUUUUGCCAGUAUACCUACACAUGCACUGAAACUGUUACUAGUUUUGAGCUACAGUACAAAUAUUUUUCCUUACUAGUAUUGUCAUUUGGAAGAUGUUCCACUCAUUUAACUUCUUCCCAUUACUGUACCAGCAAAUACAUUUUGGGCAGACUCAGGGGCUACCUAGGUAAGCAGGGUUACCAGUCAGUGACUUUCUUACUUUCUCUAAAAGAGAAGAAAUCCUAAUCUUAAGAACCGAACACACUGCAACAAUGAGCCCUGUCUAUACUUACCAUUUAUACAGAUGUAAUUAUAAAAAAUAAUACACGUUGUUAACCUACAGCUGAUACUUCAGAAGGAAGCAAUUUACAGGUUUCCACCCUUCCCCUGCUUUUAUGAGGUGACCAUGAAAGGGGCGGGACAGGGGCUUCUCCAAGGUCAGGAUGACACGCAGGUAUUCGGGGGGUCAGGUAUUGGAAUAGGUGGUCAGGUAUUGAUACAGGGAGGUGGAGGAGUCGCCAUCCCUGGAGGGGGUUAAGAGGUGUCUGGAUGCGGCGCCGGGUGAUGUGGAUUAGGGGUUACAGUGGCAGUGCUGGAUGAACGGUUGGACUUGAUGAUCCUAAAGGCCUCUUCCAACCUUGGUGAUUCAAUUCUCUAACUCCAUGCGCUAGGCACCUUUACAAAAGCAAGAGCCCCCCCGGCCCACCUUUGCCGAGGGCCUGGUAGGCCCCCAGCUUGUAGCAGCUCUCGCUGUGCCCGUGCUCCUCGCAGUUGUCGCGCAUCACCCGCGCCGCGGCCGCGAAGUCCUUCUUGAUGUUGUCCAGAUAGUCCGCGAAGCGCUGGCAGCCUGCGGGGCACGGCACAGGGGCUGAGCUCCCGCCGGGCCCGCCGGGAGCGGGGGGCGGCGGGGCCCUUACCGUCCGGGUCCUUCUCCUUGAAGCACUGGUAGCUGUACUCCACGUGCAGGUUCUCCAGGUACGCCCGCACCUCCUCCUCGUCCGCGAAGUUGAUGAACCCGGCCAUGACCGCGCCGGGGGACGGGCAGAUCGCGGGGCCGCUCCCGCGAGGAACGAGCGUUCCGUGCGGCACCGGGACCGCCCCUUCCCGGCCGCUCCUCCGGCCACUCCUUCUGCUCCUUCUCCUCCCGCCCCUUCCCCGGCCACUCCCCCUGCUCCUUCCUCGACCGGGCAUUCCCCCACCGCUCCUCCCAUCACCGCUCCCUCCCGCGCUCACCGGGAACUCUGACAGUUCAGCAGCUUUAAGCGAUAGCACGCUGUUAGUGUUUUACUCUCAGAGUUUUGCACCACUGGAUGCGUAUUCCCGGUCUGAUUCGGAACACUCCAGUCCACAAGUUGAGACAUGUCUGAGACUGAGACAAUCGAGACUAUGUACAUUAAUGCGCUCUGCAUGGCUUACGAGUCACGGUUGCUUCCCCCAUUCCCCCAUCUGCCUCCCGCAUGCUUUUGUCUGGAUUAACAGCUCCAUAAUUUCCAACUCAGAACGGAGGAGUUGCGGCGAGAGACUGUUCUCAGCCACCGCCCCUUUCUGUGGUGCCACAAAAGCUUGGAGGUGCUCUUGGAAGAGCUGGAACCUGACACCGAGUGUCUCUCAGCUGGCAGUGUCAGGAGCGCUAAAAACACUCAGGGACUGGUAAGCGCUUAACACACAUCAAACCUUGGUUCUCCAGUGAUCCGAGAAUCACGAAAUGGUUUGGGUGGGAAGGGACCUUAAAGCUCAUCUCGUUCCUGCCAUGAGCAGGGGCAUCUUCCACUGGGCCAGGUUGCUCCAAGCCCCAUCAAACCUGGCCUUGAACACUUCCAGAGAUGGGCACUGACAACGCUAUGGAUGGACUUAACCCGAAUGUGAUAUUAGAAUACUGACACAAAACAUGGCACACUAUCCAAUUCCAGCAGUUUUGAGCACAAACCAAAUUUUCUGUAAAGCAGCACAUAAGAAAUUUAUGUGAUGAAUUGCUUAGAGUUAGAAUUAAUGUGAAAGUACGCUUGAGUUAAAAUGAAUUACAGAGAAUAUUUGCAAAUGCUUUGUCCCAAAUUAUUUCAGUAGGAUAAGACCGGCUUGCCAAGUUUUUGGGAUAAAUAAAACUCAGUCAAAUCCUGUGCAGAGGGUCCCAUAGGAAAAAGCCCAAUCGUUUAUGAAGGGCUGGAGCUAAUUGUGACCAACCAUCAUCAGCCAGACUGGCAGCAAACUCAGCUGGGCACAUGGCUGAAACACCAGUUACGGCUUCUAAAGUAUUUCCCUAAAAGUUUUCAGACUGCUCUAAAUUUGGAUUGCAGUUAAAACACAUUUUCCAUAGGAAGCUAAAAUCUUGUGUUCAAAAUGUAUUGACCCAAACCCACUAGAGAACACAAGUAAGAAGAUACACAUCGUUUGGUCCAUGCUGGCUGCGAUUGGAGACUGUGGGAAGCUUGUGUUCUGGAGAGGGCUUUUGGAAAAUUAACUGAUUUUGUACCAGAAAUAUUGUUUCUUUGAACAAACAUCUUUGAAAAACA